AUUGAACGCUGGCGGCAUGCCUUACACAUGCAAGUCGAACGGCAGCACGGGAGCAAUCCUGGUGGCGAGUGGCGAACGGGUGAGUAAUGUAUCGGAACGUGCCCAGUCGUGGGGGAUAACGUAGCGAAAGCUACGCUAAUACCGCAUACGAUCUAUGGAUGAAAGCGGGGGAUCGCAGGACCUCGCGCGAUUGGAGCGGCCGAUAUCAGAUUAGGUAGUUGUUGGGGUAAAGGCCCACCAAACCUGCGAUCUGUAGCUGGUCUGAGAGGACGACCAGCCACACUGGAACUGAGACACGGUCCAGACUCCUACGGGAGGCAGCAGUGGGGAAUUUUGGACAAUGGGCGCAAGCCUGAUCCAGCAAUGCCGCGUGCAGGAUGAAGGCCUUCGGGUUGUAAACUGCUUUUGUACGGAACGAAACGGCUUUUUCUAAUACAGAGAGCUAACGACGGUACUGUAAGAAUAAGCACCGGCUAACUACGUGCCAGCCGCCGCAGUAA
rnacentral:rRNA from 1 species